rnacentral:sRNA from 1 species
GAGGGUCAGUCGUCUCGGGGGAAGA